rnacentral:rRNA from 1 species
AUUGAACGCUGGCGGCAGGCCUAACACAUGCAAGUCGAGCGGAGUGGCGGACGGGUGAGGAAUACAUUGGAAUCUACUCUGUCGUGGGGGAUAACGUAGGGAAACUUACGUUAAUACUGCAUACGACUGAAUGAGCCGAUGUGGGAUUAGCUAGUUGGCGGGGUAAAGGCCCACCAAGGCGACGAUCCGUAGCUGGUCUGAGAGGAUGAUCAGUCACACUGGAACUGAGACACGGUCCAGACUCCUACGGGAGGCAGCAGUGGGGAAUAUUGGACAAUGGGCGAAAGCCUGAUCCAGCCAUGCCGCGUGUGUGAAGAAGGUCUUCGGGUUGUAAAGCACUUUAAGUUGGGAGGCGUUACCAGCAGAAUAAGCACCGGCUAACUUCGUGCCAGCAGCCGCGGUAAUAC